rnacentral:rRNA from 1 species
AUACCUCUUGACAUCCAGCGAAGCCUUUAGAGAUAGAGGCGUGCCUUCGGGAGCGCUGAGACAGGUGCUGCAUGGCUGUCGUCAGCUCGUGUUGUGAAAUGUUGGGUUAAGUCCCGCAACGAGCGCAACCCUUAUCCUUGUUUGCCAGCACAUAAUGGUGGGAACUCCAGGGAGACUGCCGGUGAUAAACCGGAGGAAGGUGGGGACGACGUCAAGUCAUCAUGGCCCUUACGAGUAGGGCUACACACGUGCUACAAUGGCAGAUACAGAGGGCAGCGACACUGCGAAGUUUAGCGAAUCCCUUAAAGUUUGUCGUAGUCCGGAUUGGAGUCUGCAACUCGACUCCAUGAAGUCGGAAUCGCUAGUAAUCGUGGAUCAAAAUGCCACGGUGAAUACGUUCCCGGGUCUUGUACACACCGA